rnacentral:rRNA from 1 species
GUGAACAAUUAAGGGCGCGCGGUGGAUGCCUAGGCUCUCGGAGGCGAAGAAGGACGCGAUAAGCCGCGAUAGUCCACGGCGAGGUGCAAGUAACCCUUGACCCGUGGGUUUCCGAAUGGGGCAACCCGGCCGUCUAGAUGACGGUCAUGCAUUAUCAUGCAGGCGAACGCGGGGAACUGAAACAUCUCAUUACCCGCAGGAGAAGAAAACAAAAUGUGAUUCCCCCAGUAGUGGCGAGCGAACGGGGAAGAGCCCAAACCGGUAGCGUUUCGGCGAUACCGGGGUCAUGGGACCACGCCAUUCGAAACAAGAUGAAGUGCAAUUACCUGGAAAGGUAAGCCGCGGAGGGUGAUAGCCCCGUGCACGUCAAUUCUUGUGGAGAUAGUGGAAUCCCGAGUAGGGCGGGACACGAGAAAUCCUGCCUGAAUUCGCCAGGACCUCCUGGCAAGGCUAAAUACUCCCGAGAGACCGAUAGUGAACCAGUACCGUGAGGGAAAGGUGAAAAGAACCCCGAGCAGGGGAGUGAAAUAGACCCUGAACCCGCGCGCCUACAAGCGGUCGGAGCUGCCUUGUGCAGUGACGGCGUGCCUUUUGCAUAAUGAGCCUACGAGUUAGUCGUCACCAGCGAGGUUAAGGGCUUCAGGCCCGUAAGCCGAAGUGAAAGCGAGCCUUAACAGGGCGUUAAGUUGGUGGCGCUAGACGCGAAACCUUGUGAUCUACCCACGAGCAGGUUGAAGUCGCGGUAACACGUGAUGGAGGACCGAACCGGUAAACGUUGAAAAGUUUUCGGAUGACUCGCGGGUAGGGGUGAAAGGCCAAUCAAACUGGGAAAUAGCUCGUACUCUCCGAAAUGCAUUUCGGUGCAGCCUGUGAUGUUCUGUUCCAGAGGUAGAGCUACUGGUUGGACGCGAGGGCUUCACCGCCUAUCAAAUCCGGAUAAACUCCGAAUGCUGGAACACGAAAUCAUGGAGUGAGCCCGCGGGUGCUAAGGUCCGCGGACGAGAGGGAAAGAACCCGGACCACCGGCUAAGGUCCCGGAUGGACAGUUAAGUUGAUCAAACGAGGUGGGAUCGCUGAGACAGCUAGGAUGUUGGCUUGGAAGCAGCCAUUCAUUUAAAGAGUGCGUAACAGCUCACUAGUCGAGCGAUCCCGCGUGGAUAAUACACGGGCAUUAAACUGUCAACCGAAGCCGUGGGGUCAGCGAAAAGCUGACCGGUAGGAGAGCAUUCCUGCCAGCGUUGAAGGUCACCCGCGAGAGUGACUGGAGCGGCAUGAAAAGCAAAUGUAGGCAUAAGUAACGAUAAUGGGGGCGAGAACCCCCCACGCCGCAAGACCAAGGCUUCCCCGGCAAUGUCAAUCAGCCGGGGGUCAGCCGGCCUCUAAGGCUAACCCGAACGGGGAUGCCGACGAGAAACGGGUUAACAUUCCCGUGCUUCUCGUCACCGUGACGCGGUGACGGGGUGAUGAAUGGACCGCGCGCUGACGGAAUAGCGCGUUGAAGGCCGUACCCUUCGAGGGUGGUAGUCAAGCACGCCACCCGAGGCGAUAGCCGAUAGUACCACGAGACUCCGGUCGAGUGGAUAGCGUCCAGGCAAUUUACCCCCGAGAAAACCCGCUAAACUUCAAGUGACGAGGAACCGUACUGUAAACGGACACACGUGGUCGGGUAGAACAUACCAAGGCGCUCGAGUGAUUCAUGGUCAAGGAACUAGGCAAAAUAGUCCUGUAACUUCGGGAAAAAGGACGCUCUAGUGAUAGAGCCGCAGAGUAAUGGCCCAGGCGACUGUUUACCAAAAACACAUGGCUAUGCCAAAUCGAAAGAUGACGUAUAUGGCCUGACACCUGCCCGGUGCCGGAAGGUUAAGAGGAGAGCUCAUCGGAAACGAGAAGGUUUGAAUUGAAGCCCCGGUAAACGGCGGCCGUAACUAUAACGGUCCUAAGGUAGCGAAAUUCCUUGUCGG